rnacentral:rRNA from 1 species
GAUGAACGCUGGCGGCGUGCCUAAUACAUGCAAGUCGAGCGAACAGACGAGGAGCUUGCUCCUCUGACGUUAGCGGCGGACGGGUGAGUAACACGUGGAUAACCUACCUAUAAGACUGGGAUAACUUCGGGAAACCGGAGCUAAUACUGGAUAAUAUAUUGAACCGCAUGGUUCAAUAGUGAAAGACGGUUUUGCUGUCACUUAUAGAUGGAUCCGCGCCGCAUUAGCUAGUUGGUAAGGUAACGGCUUACCAAGGCAACGAUGCGUAGCCGACCUGAGAGAGUGAUCGGCCACACUGGAACUGAGACACGGUCCAGACUCCUACGGGAGGCAGCAGUAGGGAAUCUUCCGCAAUGGGCGAAAGCCUGACGGAGCAACGCCGCGUGAGUGAUGAAGGUCUUCGGAUCGUAAAACUCUGUUAUUAGGGAAGAACAAAUGUGUAAGUAACUAUGCACGUCUUGACGGUACCUAAUCAGAAAGCCACGGCUAACUACGUG